rnacentral:rRNA from 1 species
AAUGCUGACAUGAGUAACGAUAAGGGGGGUGAAAAACCUCCCCGCCGGAAGAUCAAGGUUUCCUGUCCAACGCUAAUCGGGACAGGGUUAGGCGGCCCCUAAGGCGAGGCAGACAUGCGUAGUCGAUGGGAAGCAGGUUAAUAUUCCUGCACCAGUGGGUAGUGACGGAUCUCGUGUGUCGUCAGUCCUUAUCGGAUUGAACUGGCGGCGAAGAGGUCCCUGGAAAUAGCUCCCACAUUAGACCGUACCCCAAACCGACACAGGU